UUGGUAGAUGGCCUGCUACAUGAUUUAUGAAUCUACUAAUAUAUAAAUUUAGAAACUGGCUAUUUUGAAAGUAUCUUUAUGACUCUGCAAUUUUAUGCCUACUCUUCAAUUCAAGUAGAUGUCUUAGAUGUAGCGCCAACAAGUGUUUUUUCACUUCCUCGGUCCAUGCAUUUAAUUGCCAAUCUGCAGUGUCUGGCUACAUGUUGAGCCGAUCUGCCACACCUGAAAGAAAUAUGAAUUUCCUUCGGAAAUAACUUGUGUUCCUCAAUAGGCUUUGCUCUAAAACCUCUACUUUAGAGGAUGAUACUUUUUAUGUAUCAAGCAUUGCUUUCCAGGGCUUUCCACUGUCUUGGCAGUGAGGGAGCGUGUAACAAAAAGGGAACUUGAAAAAAAUUGACCAACGUCAUCAUUCAAACAGACACCUGGACAAUCCUGCGACUAAAAUUCCACUGGCAGCGUUUUAGGACUUCGUGGCUGACUCCUUUUUGCUUCUUGUGCCUCCAGCUAGUCCUUCGUUUAAGAUGACCACCACUUCCCUUCCUCCCGAAGGGAGAGGCAUCAGCCCCAACCUGUCCGCCUGUCGAGAGUCUCAGUGUAACAACCAUGGUAACUGUGUGACUCCUCCUGGUGGUGGUACAGAUCUACUAUGCAACUGUGAUCUGGGCUACAAGGGUGACUCCUGCGGGGAAACGGUCAAUGGAGCGUUAGGUAUACCUUUGACCCUCAGCGUGUUAGCCGUCCUCAUUGGCCUCGCAAUCCUGGCAUUCGUCCUUGCCAAGUACCAGCAGAGAAAAAGGAAGCAGCGAAGCAGGAAACUACUGGAACAAAAAGCCUAAAACAGUGCUGCUUAACGUGGAUAACUGUCGAACAGAACGUUUGACCUACUUUGAUGAUCAAAUUGUGGCUACUAUAAGAAUUAUUCUGCAGCAUCCUGGAGACUCUAGCACCAACUUCACAAACUGAGUGCCAAGGCAUAUGGGAGAGUUGCUUCCUAUAUAGUAUUUUUCCAUUUAUAUAAAUGUAUCCAUCUCCAGCUGCGUCGUAUCGCAAGCCUCAUGCUUAUUAAACUUGUGCCUCAUCUCGGAAAACAACAAGACUGGAUAAUUCUGUUGACCUAAUUUUAAACUUGGAGUGAAAAUGUCUGUAUUCUAAUCAGCAGCAGCUUCCGUGAUCACAUUUCUUGGAUGCUAAGGCAUGCUUCUGCAAUUAGUUUAAACUCUGACACUUGUUAGUAAAUUAAUGUAAAUGUUCAUCCUCUGUGAGGGAGCUGCAGUUUAGUUUAAGUAAAGCAAGUGGUUGUUAUUUUUCUAGUGAAGGCUUCUAACAGAGAUAACACUUAAGAUAACUCUAGAUUGUUUAACGGGCUAAGUCAGAAGCUGAUUUGAUGGCAUACAGUUUUUAUAAAAAUUUAUGUAGAAAAUAUGCACUUUUUUUUCCACUCGCGUGGGUUUAUUUCAUUUCAUUCAGUACAUAUUUUUGUACCGUGUGCAGUUGCUGGCUGUAUCAUAUUGUUCCCCUGGAAUUUCUUUCUUCUAAGCGUGUGUGUGUGUGAGUGCGCGCCUUUUAACACUUCAGGUUUUUCGGGAAGUAUUUCUACCUAUUUCUAAGUGCCCUGUCUUUGAUGCUGUUGUAACAAAAAUGCACCAGUACAUCACUGGCCUGCUUUUACUCUCAUAUACGGCUAUGCUUAUGAAAAUAAUGCAUGUAAAUCUGUGCAGACACAAUCCUGCAGAGCUGUCAACAACAUGCGCAUAUUGUACAGAUGAUAGGAGAGUGGUCAGAGCAGAUUUCAAUCUUGGCAUGUUUAAAACUUGACAGUACAUGUGCUUUUAAAUGAGUUCGUGUGCUCUUUGAAUUUCAGCCUACAAACUAAUUACCACUCAGUACACUUCCGGUCCUGUAAACAUGAAAACUACAUAGCAUCUUGGUGCUGAAUAAUUAGUCAAGUUCCUCAAGCUUGUAGCCAGUGUUAAGUGCCUACUGUAUUAAUUCUUUCACAUGUUCACAGUUGUCAUGUUUCACCUGGUGAAUACUGAUAAUCACAAAUGUAAACUAAUCAUCAACAACUCAGUAAUGUUUUGCAAAUGUCUGCUUCCCUGACAACAGGGUAAAACUGCAAAAUGUUAAUGUUACUGUAGAUUUUCAGAGCUCCCGUAUACAACACUCAAUAUUGUUAAGAUUAUCAUGUUUUUGUGUGUACAUGUGUUGAAUUUUUAUAUGAAUAUGACUAUUGUUGAUGAGCAGGGUUUCUCAAUGUAUGCAUUCUCAAGUGUCUUCCACUAGCUUGUAAACCCUUUGAAUUAUAUAGACAGAAGAGAACAUCUCACUCUGUGGGUUUUGUUUUGGGGGGGCGGGAUUAACUGGACAGUCUGCUUAUAUUGCAGGGCGUCACAGUGUUUUAUCACUCAGGGUAGGCUGUCUUUGAGCCCCUGUUACAGUAAACCUCUUUUUCUGGCAUCCAGUGACAUGAUAAUAUCAGGUUCGGUGUUUACUAAACUCAGACAUGAUGGCUGUGAACAUUCAAUCCUCACAGGCUGAGAACCUAACCAGUUUUGCCAUAUAAUAAGAUGUGUAACAACAAAAAAGUGGAAGCAUCUGCCUUCAGGGUAUAACUAGGUCAACACUUGCUGUCCUAAUAAGGGACAGACUUUGCAUGCUUGUUUGCAGAAGGAGGAGCUACUUGUAUCAUGGCAAUUAGAAGUACAUCCCACAAGUAUAACUACUCAAGAUUACACAAAUUCCUCAUGAGUCGGCUUUUGGCUGUAUGGUCAGCCACUGUAUGCAGGAAAUGAGGAUAUUGUUUAUUAGACUCAUCAGACUGAUUUGAACCUAAAUGCUGGGAGCAGUAACACAAGACGGUACUAUUACUGUAUCCAUCACUGGUGGUGUUAAUAAGCUGUCAGGGUAGUUCAACAUCUAGCUCAUAGAAGAGGAGCAAGCGUAACACUUUUAAAUGUUGCAAAUGCAACGUUUCAGCAAACAUGAGCGAGCAAACAGCCUGUUUCUGUGCAGUUUGUCACACUAUGCCUGCAAGCCAAACAUACAGCUGCUGUACUUCAGUGAAAGAUAGAAAUGAGAGAUGGCUUCACCGAGAGAGAGGAUAUAAGAAAGCCAGGACAAACAAGGAAGGAGUAAGGACAGUUCAGCUUAUAACAUCCCAAUUCUUUUUAGAGUUAUUUGAUCAGAUAUUGGAUCUAUGAACAGGAACUUUUAUUCAACUGUUAUUUAAAGGUUGUAUAAAAAUACUGGGACAUUUAGUGCAGGCCACACUGAGUUUAAAGGGCUUUGGUAAAGUGUAAAUCGCUAUAUG